UCAGAGGAGAAUACCCUCUGCCC
rnacentral:piRNA from 1 species